AAGUCGUAACAAGGUUUCCGUAGGUGAACCUGCGGAAGGAUCAUUAAUGAAUUUGGAGAAUUGAUGCUGGCCUUUGUGCAUGUGCUCGUUCUCUUUAAUCCAUACACACCUGUGCACUUUGGACUUUGGGGUUCGCACUCUUGUGCAGUCGGUCGACUCUGCUCGACCUGGACCCUAAGGUACUUUUUUCCACACAUGCCGAAUGUGAUAGAAUGUAACUCGUGCUCAGUCGCACAUCUAAUACAACUUUCAACAACGGAUCUCUUGGCUCUC
rnacentral:misc_RNA from 1 species